AUGAGGCUGUAAUGAGGAAGGCACAGCCUCUUCCCUUGCCGGCCACGGCCCCGGGGCCGUUUUCCGAGGGUUCUUCGGGGCCAGCAAGAGUGGGCCUUCCUCCCUCUACUAUGUCACCGUCACCUCCAGAACCGAAGGCUUUGCCAAGGAAGCCCCUUCCCUGCUCUGGCCCCAUCACCAGCCCCGGGUCUUGAGUGGGUCCGGGGUCUCGGGGAGCACCUGCUCUGGCCUCCCCUGGCCUCCCCGACCCCAUCUCCUGACGGCUCCUCUGACGAUGUGUGUGCUGUGGAGACGUAGGCCUCCAGCCUUCCGGUGCAGCUCCAGGGACUCGGGCAGUGGGCCGGUCAGCCGGCCCCCUGGGAAGCGGACAGCCUCAUGGGGGACAGAGACAUUACAGAAGCAACGCUGCCCAGUGCACUGAGGCCCGCCCAUCUUCAGUCACCAGAGAAUCACCUUGUGUGUGGACCCGUUCCUGUAACCCUUCGAGUACUGUGUAGUGACUGGCCAUUACCCCUGUAGCCUCAAGGUCAAGGAAAUGCCAGAUGGACUGAAUCAGCUUCACCAGCAGGAACUGGCAACGUGAAGUGACGGACAGAGAUGGGGUGACUCAAAGGACUUCUUGGAGCUUCUGGGUUUGCACUUGCUUGGGACCCAGCGGCCCUUUUCCCCUUCUGGAAUGGCAGCGUGUACCCCAUGUGUGUCCCGCCACUGUAUUUUGGACACAUGUAACAUGCUGGCUUCACAGGGUCACUGCUGGAGAGGAGUUGGCCUCAGGAUGAACCUGCCCCCAGCGUUACCCACGGCUGACAUGGAUGGUGUUCAGACAAGACCUUGGAGUUGGAUGCUAGAAGGAGCUCAGGCUUUGGACUGCUGGGCUGGAGUGAACGUGUUUGGAAAAAAGGCCGUGAAUCUGGGGGGCAGCGGUGGAAUGUUGUGAACUGGAUAUUUAUGUCCCCUUGGAUUCAGACGCUGAAGCCUCAGCUCCCAGCGUGACUGUGUUUGGAGGCAGGGUCUUUGGGAUGUGAUGGGGCGAAUCUGAGGCCCUGACGGCAAGACCUCGUGAGGACCUCAGUGCCUGUAAGAGGAGGAGCGAGGUCUCCUUCUCUCUCCACGUGCCCAGGAAGAGAAGGCCUCUGCCUGCCGGACAGUAAGAGAGCCACCAACAAUCAAUUCUGCCAGGACCUCCACCACAGACGGCCUCCACACUGUGAGAAACGCAUGUGUGUUGUUUGAACCAUUUGUGAUGGCAGCCGGAGAUGUUGGAGACACAACCCAAGGGCUCGCCACGAUGGGCGGAUGAGUGAAAUGUGGCUCGUCCACACGAGGCAGCACUACUCGUCCACAUGGGGGGGCAGGGCACCGUCACACAUGACGACAGAGUCCUACCGUGAAAACACGAUGCUCAGGGAGGGAAGCCAGCCACAAAAAAGCACACGGGGUGUGAUUCCAUUUACAAGAAAUGUCCAGGCAACUCCUCAGAAAGAUAGAUUAGUGGUUUCUGGGGCUGGGGGAGUUGAGAGGGAGAAAAGUCAUGGGGUUUCCUCCAAGAUGAUGGGAAUGUUCUGGAAUCAGACAGAGGUGGUGGUUUACACAGCAUUGUGGAUGUGUGCUUAUGAAUUUCAUCUCAAAAAAUUAUUUAAAAAAUUUUAAUACAUGGGUCCGUAAAUCCCGCAAAUCCCGGAUUUGCUGUCCGCUGACCACGAUCUUUGGCCAUUACGACAUCUGACCGUGCUCGUCCCUCUGCAGUUGGACGCUCCGGACACUGGAGCAGAGUGUGAAAACGCCUGCGCAUAAAAGACCUUCAAGAAUGUUCCCUCUGUUCCCGGUUUCACCCCUGGCUUGGCUAUUUCCUACAGGGAGAAGACGCUGUGCACACCUACAGCCCGACAAGCAGGUCAACCAACAGCAAAGGCAGUGUCUCAAGUCAGACCUAGAGGGAGAAAUACGCCUUCGUAAAUCCAAGGCGUCUGGGAGCACUGACUCCCUGCAGGGAGAUCAUCUUGCGGCCAUCACCCUCCUCCCCUUCAGAGCCUGCUCCAUACUGGUGCGCAGUUGGAGGUUAAUGCCGGAUCGAGUGGACUAUUUGGCAACGUCUGAUGAUCCUGUGUUCGUGGUAACCCUCGGGCACCCUCCAAGCUGCAAAGCCCCUUGGAUCCACAGAGCUAUUUAGGGAGGUCUGGGAGAGAAGGGAAAACAGCUGUGCCCAGUCUCAAAAAAGACAUUUCUAUGAAAAUCGAGUACAAAGGCAAGGCUGGGCAAGUCAGGCUGGCGAGAGGCAGAAAGGGGAGGAGCUGGCUUGGGGCCUCCUUGUAGCCUCAUGAGGUGGCCCAGACACCCCGAACCCAGACGACCUCGGGGCCCGGCGAGUCCAGGCCGCAUCUCCAUCCAGCACUGGAGGUGGUUCAAAUGUCACGUGAGUCGGUCACUUGGAGGGAGGGACGCACCAUCAGUCUUCAAGCCCAAUCAUUGACUAACCUCUGUGACCUCGAGGGAGAGUUCAAGAUGCAGGCUCCGGAUGUGAAUCUUUAGGCCAUUCUGAGCUCAUCACCCGGGGCUGGUGGAGUCGCUAGCCUGUGGGCCAAAGCUCUGUGCUGGAUUCUGUGAGGAGCGUCACCAAACACAGAAGAAGGGGCUGGCCUCAGAAAUGGAGGGUUGGGAUGAAGGCUGCCCGACGGUGGGCCAGGGCGAGCCUGUGUCCCGCUCAGGAGACUUUCCGGGAGCGUCUGAGAACAUCUGCUAAAUGGAGGGAUGUCUCAGAGCGCGUUAAUUGCGUGCGUCUUGUGUGUGUGUCCUAAAACACUAUCAGCUGAGUGCAAUUAAAGGGAAUUCAAUUUAAAUCAAUUUGGCAAAACUUUACCGAGUGCCCACUCCAAAUGAGGUUCUGAAAAGGCCACGAUUGGUUUGGUAUUAGGAACAAUGGAAAUUCUGUUAUCGCUCAUCCAAAUAAUCAGAACUAAUUUAGGGUUUGAUGGCAAAUAGUCAAUUGGUAAGCAGGAAACAGGGAGAAAUAAUUAACCAUGACAAGAAAUGCAGUUACAUUUAACUUGUGCUGGUUUUUUGUUUGUUUGUUUGUUUGUUUUGAAGUAAGCUUUAUCUGGAAGGCUCGGUAAUUCUAAAUUGUCAGUCAAAAACAGUGCCUUCCCAUGGUCCUGAAGAGCCUUCCUGCCACUCCCCACCCGCAUGGUCGUGCCCGAGCCCCUUCCCCAGAGGGAAGCCGGGCGGUGCCCGAGAAGGGAGCAGAGGGCGUCCUGGUGACUGACGGGGGACAAAGGGGCCACGACCCGCCUCUGGAGGAAGGCCACGCGGAAGCGGGACGGAGCGCGUCAUCCACAGCUGCUCUCGCCCGUGCUCGUCUGAGAUUCAUUUUUAAAAAUAAGCUUGAGU